rnacentral:rRNA from 1 species
UGAGGAAUAUUGGUCAAUGGACGCAAGUCUGAACCAGCCAAGUAGCGUGCAGGAUGACGGCCCUAUGGGUUGUAAACUGCUUUUAUAUGGGGAUAAAGUGGGGAACGUGUUCCCUUUUGCAGGUACCAUAUGAAUAAGGACCGGCUAAUUCCGUGCCAGCAGCCGCUGUAAUACGGAAGGUUCGGGCGUUAUCCGGAUUUAUUGGGUUUAAAGGGAGCGUAGGCCGUUUGGUAAGCGUGUUGUGAAAUGUAGGAGCUCAACUUCUAGAUUGCAGCGCGAACUGUCAGACUUGAGUGCGCACAACGUAGGCGGAAUUCAUGGUGUAGCGGUGAAAUGCUUAGAUAUCAUGAAGAACUCCGAUUGCGAAGGCAGCUUACGGGAGCGCAACUGACGCUGAAGCUCGAAGGUGCGGGUAUCGAACAGG